rnacentral:rRNA from 1 species
AUGUCACCAACAGAACCAGCAUGGCCAUUUGCUCUAAAAAGGAGACAAUAUCCUAUAUCAGUUUGCUUUGCUAUGACUAUCAACAAAAGCCAUGGCCAAUCUCUGAACAAAGUAGGACUAGAUCUACCCAAACAAGUUUUCACGCAUGGACAUUUAUAUGUAGCCUUCUCAAGAGUAACAAAAAGGGUGGGACUGCGGGUAAUGGUAAAUGAUGAAAAUAACAAUGAGGAUGAUGUGGUCAAGAACAUAUAG